rnacentral:rRNA from 1 species
GACGAACGCUGGCGGCGUGCUUAACACAUGCAAGUCGAACGGUAAGGCCCUUCGGGGUACACGAGUGGCGAACGGGUGAGUAACACGUGGGUGAUCUGCCCUGCACUUCGGGAUAAGCCUGGGAAACUGGGUCUAAUACCGGAUAGGACCACUGCCUGCAUGGGUGGUGGUGGAAAGCUUUUGCGGUGUGGGAUGGGCCCGCGGCCUAUCAGCUUGUUGGUGGGGUGAUGGCCGACCAAGGCGACGACGGGUAGCCGGCCUGAGAGGGUGACCGGCGACGCUGGGACUGAGAUACGGCCCAGACUCCUACGGGAGGCAGCAGUGGGGAAUAUUGCACAAUGGGCGCAAGCCUGAUGCAGCGACGCGGCGUGAGGGAUGACGGCCUUCGGGUUGUAAACCUCUUUCAGCACCGACGAAGCGCAAGUGACGGUAGGUGCAGAAGAAGGACCGGCCAACUACGUGCCAGCAGCCGCCGUAA